CCAUGCCGCGUGUGUGAAGAAGGCCUUCGGGUUGUAAAGCACUUUCAGUCGUGAGGAAGGUGGUAGUGUUAAUAGCACUAUCAUUUGACGUUAGCGACAGAAGAAGCACCGGCUAACUCCGUGCCAGCAGCCGCGGUAAUACGGAGGGUGCGAGCGUUAAUCGGAAUUACUGGGCGUAAAGCGCAUGCAGGUGGUUUGUUAAGUCAGAUGUGAAAGCCCGGGGCUCAACCUCGGAAUUGCAUUUGAAACUGGCAGACUAGAGUACUGUAGAGGGGGGUAGAAUUUCAGGUGUAGCGGUGAAAUGCGUAGAGAUCUGAAGGAAUACCGGUGGCGAAGGCGGCCCCCUGGACAGAUACUGACACUCAGAUGCGAAAGCGUGGGGAGCAAACAGGAUUAGAUACCCUGGUAGUCCACGCCGUAAACGAUGUCUACUUGGAGGUUGUGGCCUUGAGCCGUGGCUUUCGGAGCUAACGCGUUAAGUAGACCGCCUGGGGAGUACGGUCGCAAGAUUAAAACUCAAAUGAAUUGACGGGGGCCCGCACAAGCGGUGGAGCAUGUGGUUUAAUUCGAUGCAACGCGAAGAACCUUACCUACUCUUGACAUCCAGAGAACUUUCCAGAGAUGGAUUGGUGCCUUCGGGAACUCUGAGACAGGUGCUGCAUGGCUGUCGUCAGCUCGUGUUGUGAAAUGUUGGGUUAAGUCCCGCAACGAGCGCAACCCUUAUCCUUGUUUGCCAGCGAGUAAUGUCGGGAACUCCAGGGAGACUGCCGGUGAUAAACCGGAGGAAGGUGGGGACGACGUCAAGUCAUCAUGGCCCUUACGAGUAGGGCUACACACGUGCUACAAUGGCGCAUACAGAGGGCAGCCAACUUGCGAAAGUGAGCGAAUCCCAAAAAGUGCGUCGUAGUCCGGAUUGGAGUCUGCAACUCGACUCCAUGAAGUCGGAAUCGCUAGUAAUCGUGGAUCAGAAUGCCACGGUGAAUACGUUCCCGGGCCUUGUACACACCGCCCGUCACACCAUGGGAGUGGGCUGCAAAAGAAGUAGGUAGUUUAACCUUCGGGGGGACGCUUACCACUUUGUGGUUCAUGACUGGGGUGAAGUCGUAACAAGGUAGCGCUAGGGGAACCUGGCGCUGGAUCACCUCCUUA
rnacentral:rRNA from 1 species